rnacentral:rRNA from 1 species
UGGGGAAUAUUGCACAAUGGGCGCAAGCCUGAUGCAGCCAUGCCGCGUGUAUGAAGAAGGCCUUCGGGUUGUAAAGUACUUUCAGCGAGGAGGAAGGCGUUGUGGUUAAUAACCGCAACGAUUGACGUUACUCGCAGAAGAAGCACCGGCUAACUCCGUGCCAGCAGCCGCGGUAAUACGGAGGGUGCAAGCGUUAAUCGGAAUUACUGGGCGUAAAGCGCACGCAGGCGGUCUGUCAAGUCGGAUGUGAAAUCCCCGGGCUCAACCUGGGAACUGCAUCCGAAACUGGCAGGCUAGAGUCUUGUAGAGGGGGGUAGAAUUCCAGGUGUAGCGGUGAAAUGCGUAGAGAUCUGGAGGAAUACCGGUGGCGAAGGCGGCCCCCUGGACAAAGACUGACGCUCAGGUGCGAAAGCGUGGGGAGCGAACA